rnacentral:rRNA from 1 species
GUAGGUGGCAAGCGUUGUCCGGAAUUAUUGGGCGUAAAGCGCGCGCAGGCGGUUCUUUAAGUCUGAUGUGAAAGCCCACGGCUCAACCGUGGAGGGUCAUUGGAAACUGGAGAACUUGAGUACAGAAGAGGAAAGCGGAAUUCAACGUGUAGCGGUGAAAUGCGUAGAGAUGUGGAGGAACACCAGUGGCGAAGGCGGCUUUCUGGUCUGUAACUGACGCUGAGGCGCGAAAGCGUGGGGAGCAAACAGGGAUUAGAUACCCUGGUAGUCCACGCCGUAAACGAUGAGUGCUAAGUGUUAGGGGGUUUCCGCCCCCUUAGUGCUGCAGCUAACGCAUUAGCACUCCGCCUGGGGAUACGGCCGCAAGGCUG